rnacentral:lncRNA from 1 species
ACUAACCUAACCCUAAGACCUAAGACCUAAGAUAUCUUCCGCUUUAAUUUAUCAUCUCUUUCACUUGGGGGAAAAGAGAGAGGAAGCAGAUCGGCGCCCCCCUCUAAUCUCCAAGACCUUAGAACCAAACACACUCAAGAACACCAGAUUGUAUCAUCUUCUUUACCUCACUGUCGCCGCCGACCAUCUUAUCUCCAGCCACACCACCAUAGCUGCCAAACCUCGACCACCCUAUGAUUCCACCUCUCACGAGCCACAAACCCAAGAAGAACUCCACCCUAACAACAAGCAGCCACAGCUGCUCACACUCCUCCUAAUCUAAAGAACAAAACCAGCCGCCCCAAUUUCCCCAAAUCAUAUAAAAUUUUUAGUUUCCUUUUAAUUCCGUUCUCAAAUCCAAACAAGAAAAUAUGUUUCUUCUUCUUGAUUUAAAUUGCGUCUUUUCAGAAAUAGAGUUUGAUUGAGGUCAUUUCGGGUUUGGAUUGAAGCAGUCAUCCGAGGUCGGUUUGUGGUCUUGGUCGGGGCUCCUUUGUUCGAUUUUGACGUUGUUUCUCGUCUGAUUUUUGGGAUCGAAGGAGUGCAUGUUUGCUGAAUUUUUUUAACGUUGAUUAAAAGAAUUUCGGUUUAACAGGUUCAUUUCUGUCUUCCCUGUCUCAUUCGAUUUUUGUUAGAUUUAAUUUUCCUUCUGUUACUUGGAUUCUGUUUCACUUUCAUGUUUAAGUGCUUAUGGGUUUGAAUAUGUUUGCUUGGAAAUAUUGAUUGCAUCGAGUCUUACAUGAAUAUGUGGUGUGUUCGAUUAGUCUUCUUGCUUGAAUUUUAACUGAUUCGCCGCUCGAGAUUGUCCUAAUUCGCUUGUUGAUAAAGAUUUGUUUGUGCCUCUGUAGUAUGGUUUGAAUUGGUUAUGGCUGUCAUCUUUCAGGAUUCCUAAGAUAAGACAAAAUUUCACCUAUUUGAGUUCGAACUUCGAAUUAGUGUUCGUUGUCAAAUUUUCUUGAUUAUGUAUUAAAAUCAGCAUGUAAUUGAUCUUCUACUAUUAGAGAUGCUAGAAUAGAACCUAAAAACUAGAAGUUAUUUUGCUAUUUGAAAGGAUUUGAAUAUCUCUGUUUUAGUCCAUGGUGUUGGCCCUCAAAAUAUCAAGAUCUAGUUCCUCGACUCGUUAAUUUAGAUUAAAUGGGUUUCAUGUGCCGAGUGUGAUGUUUGGCAUUUUAUCCUUACAAUGAUAUAGUUUUUACAUAAUCGAUAUGAGUCUUGAAAUUUGACAUAGUGGAAAUUGGCAAAAUUGGGCUGAUGUGGGAUCUAUUUGAUAGCUUUUAGUUCAAUUUUUCUCCUUUUUUUUCUUCUUCUUGUUUUAGCUUUCUUUAACUCUUAGAUGUCGUAGAUGAUCUUAGAUGCUUUCUUUGUUAUAUAUGUUUGAUUUCGCUCUUCUGAUUCGUAUUUGUUAUUGUUUGAAUUUGCCUCUUUGUACAAAAUGGGUUGUGGGGGAGUGGUAGAAAAGCCUAAGCCCAUUAGCAAAUAAUUUGUUCCAUGUUUUAGGUAUCGGGUUCGGCCUAAUAAAAAUAAGAAAUUAUAAGAAAAACAUGUCAUGAAUUGUUCUUUUUAGUUUUAGUUUUAUUUAUUUUAUUUUUCUUACAUUAUCCGCUAGGAGCAUGCUUAGACUGUCAUCACUUGAGUAGGCAAGUCUUAGGAUUUUUGUUAGUUUUGAGCGAGAGGUUGUCCGUGAGUUAAAUUUAUCCGGGGAAUGCCCCAUAGACUUUGUAUAUAUUUUAUCCGGGGUAUGCCCCGUAGUGAAUGCAAUUGGAGGCCGUGACGAAGCUCGUGGAAGAAGUAUGGUAUAUAUUAGUAUUUAGGACUUUAUUUUUCCCUUAUAUUUUCUUUUAUUAGGUUGGGAUGACCUCGAGCCUCUUUUGCUUUUGCUUUCUUUCUCCGUUCGAAUAUUUUAAAAUCCAAUAAGAUCAAGUAUGCAACCGUACUAGUUACGGGACUCGGGGAAUGCCUAACACCUUCUCCCUGAGUCAAAUGAACACCCUUACCUGAAUCUGUCGUGUAGACUUAGUUUUGGAGUCCAAAGUGUUUUAAAAGGAAAAAUUAUUUCUAAAAAAUAGUGACCUGGCACACCGAAAUCAAAUAUCAGGUGGCGACUCUGCAAAAUCUUUUUGAACACAAUUUUGUCACUUUCAAUUUUGAAAACCCUUUUUAAGCUUUACAAAUUUUUUUAUUUAUUUUUAAGAGGGUUAAUGAGGUAGAAACAAAAGGGGUGUGACAUUAAAUUUAUUUAGUUAUUUCAAUUUUAACUUAGCUAGGAUGUUUUUAAUCAAACUAACUUAUCAAUUGUUACUUUAAUAUGUGCUUCCUUAAUUAUUAAUACUAGUCUUAUGAGUAUACUAUCUUAAGUGGCAAAAAACUUUUUUUUAAAACGUAUAAAUAAUAUUGAAAUAUUGUGCUUGAAUGAUAAAAUAACAAUACAUAUUCCUAAAACUAAUAAAUAUUGAUCCUAUAUACAUCACUCAAUAAAAGAUUGAAACUGACAGAAGAGAAGUUCUCAAUCAUUAAUCAUUACCUUCAACUACAACAUUGUUCCAUAUUUUAAUUUUAUUUUAUACUAAAUAAAUAUGAAGUAGUGCUUGAGAUGUAUCAUAUUAAUCAUUACAAAUUUAUACAAAAAAUAUCUCUCUUUUAUCUUUGUAAUUUUAAAAUUCAUUAGGUAAUGAAAUGUCUCUCAUCUUUAAAAAUUUUAUUUUCGAUUCAUUAGGUAAUAAAAUAUCUCUCAUCUUUAUAAUUUCGAUUCUGUUACAUCUCGCGUUUUCGUACGUUAAAAGUUUCGUCUUCAGUUAAUUGACAUAGACUCGGGGAUGAGAUUAUCUUGAGGUUAACGUAUUUACGCUUUUUAUAACAAGCGAUAAGUAAGUGUCAUGAAGGAUAAAUGGUACAUGAAUUAAAGAAAACGAGUUUCGUUGAAAGUGGCCAAUUUGGGAUAAAAUACGGGUCGAGCGAUAAUAUCCGAUAAUUAUGGACUAGUAUCAUACAAGGUACCAUAUGACCACGGUAGUGCGAUGUAUAAAGUAUAUUAAAAAUAAAUAGAAUUUUAAAUAAUUUGAGAUAAUUUUUAAAUUACGCAGGUAAUUGAUUAAUUAAUUACCGGGUAACAGAACAUUAUUCAGUUAACUAAUAAUUGAAAAAAAUUAAUAAAUUAAUCCCCCAAAACGGGGCAUAAAGCCACAAUGACUAAACAUGACUCUUAGUCAUGUAUGCCUAGGUGGCUACCCAAGAAUAAAUGGGAAUUUAAUAAAACAAGACUUAUAACAAGUCUUGUUAUAUUUCCAUAUUGGAAAAAGGAAGAACCAAAAAACGUUAACUAUCCUAAAGUAAUAUCCUAUCUUCUUGGUUUGAAUGUUUCAAAGACAGGCUUAAAAAUCCGUUCAAACAACUUCAAAGAAGUAGAAGAAAUUUUCGUUCAAGAAUUUCAAAGAAGCAGAAGUAAAUUUCGUUCAAGAAUUUCAAAAAGCAGAAGCUUAAUUCGAUUUUUGGAGUUCUAAGGAAUGUUAUACGGAGUUUUCGUUACUCCAGGUAUGUUAAGGCUAUCCCUUCUUUCUUUUGGCAUAGUCUAAAUUAUACAAAAAAAACGAGCAAACGCACAGUUUCCAUAAAUUACUCUAUUAAUAGAAAUACUAAAGGUGUCUAUAUUCUUGAUUCCCUAUGAGAAUUUAUUAUUAUUAUCUUUUGUUCAUAGGUCUUAGAAUAAUACGCAGUUGAAAAAAGUUUAUCUGAAAGAAAUAUUGAGAUUAUUACGUAUUUUUCAUGCAUUUUACCCAUUCAUACAUGUGCAUUGACCCAUGACCAAAUGGUUUUAUAUACGCGUGUAUAUGUAAAUAUAUGUAUAUGAGAUAUAAAAAAAGGUUACAUCGUUAUAUACGCACCACCACCUGAUCAGUUGGUAUAUAUUGAUAAUGUUGCCCACAGUGGCCGAGACGAUAUGAUGGGAUACCCGCAGUGGCUUGAUGAUAUUAUGUACACCCAUACGUAUGCAUGACACGACAUUUAUACGCACGGGCAUGACAGUAUAAAUGUUUCAGAAUUUACAAAGUAAUUUAGAUUUACGGAUGGGUUUCUUUAUUCCAUAUUUCGUCUAUGUCAUUUACGUACUAAUUUUCAUGCAUUACAUACUCAGUACAUUAUUCGUACUGAUGCCCUAUUUCAUGGGGACUGCGUUUCAUGCCCGUAGGUGCAGGCAGGCAAGCUGACGGUCCCCCUUCUUAGGAUCCUUGAUCAACGAGAGUUGGCACGCUCAACUUGAUCCGGAGCUGCUUUUGAUUUUGGUACGAUAUGUUUGUAUAUAUAUAUGGGUAUNNNNN